rnacentral:rRNA from 1 species
AUACGUAGGGUGCAAGCGUUAAUCGGAAUUACUGGGCGUAAAGCGUGCGCAGGCGGUUUUGUAAGACAGUGGUGAAAUCCCCGGGCUCAACCUGGGAACUGCCAUUGUGACUGCAAGGCUGGAGUGCGGCAGAGGGGGAUGGAAUUCCGCGGGUAGCAGUGAAAUGCGUAGAUAUGCGGAGGAACACCGAUGGCGAAGGCAAUCCCCUGGGCCUGCACUGACGCUCAUGCACGAAAGCGUGGGGAGCAAACAGGAUUAGAUACCCUGGUAGUCCACGCCCUAAACGAUGUCAACUGGUUGUUGUGAAUUUAUUUUCUCAGUAACGAAGCUAACGCGUGAAGUUGACCGCCUGGGGAGUACGGCCGCAAGGUUAAAACUCAAAUGAAUUGACGGGG